GUGGGGAAUAUUCCGCAAUGGACGAAAGUCUGACGGAGCAACGCCGCGUGAGUGAUGAAGGUUUUCGGACUGUAAAGCUCUGUUGUUUAGGACGAAAGUGCCUGUUGCGAAUAGUUACAGGUAUUGACGGUACUGAACGAGGAAGCCACGGCUAACUACGUGCCAGCAGCCGCGGUAAUACGUAGGUGGCAAGCGUUGUCCGGAAUUAUUGGGCGUAAAGAGCAUGUAGGCGGGAAUCUAAGUCUGUUGUGAAAAUGCGGGGCUCAACCCCGUAUUGCGAUGGAAACUGGGUUUCUUGAGUGCAGGAGAGGAAAGGGGAAUUCCCAGUGUAGCGGUGAAAUGCGUAGAUAUUGGGAGGAACACCAGUGGCGAAGGCGCCUUUCUGGACUGUGUCUGACGCUGAGAUGCGAAAGCCAGGGUAGCGAACGGGAUUAGAUACCCGUGUAGUCC
rnacentral:rRNA from 1 species